rnacentral:rRNA from 1 species
UACGUAGGGGGCAAGCGUUGUCCGGAAUUAUUGGGCGUAAAGAGCUCGUAGGCGGUCUGUCGCGUCUGCUGUGAAAACUCGGGGCUUAACCCCGGGCCUGCAGUGGGUACGGGCAGACUAGAGUGCGGUAGGGGAGACUGGAAUUCCUGGUGUAGCGGUGAAAUGCGCAGAUAUCAGGAGGAACACCGGUGGCGAAGGCGGGUCUCUGGGCCGUAACUGACGCUGAGGAGCGAAAGCGUGGGGAGCGAACAGG